UGGUGAAUCUUCCGCAAUGGACGAAAGUCUGACGGAGCAACGCCGCGUGAGUGAAGAAGGUUUUCGGAUCGUAAAACUCUGUUUUCAGGGACGAAUGUGCAAUAUGUGAAUAAUGUGUUGUAAUGACGGUACCUGACAAGAAAGCCACGGCUAACUACGUGCCAGCAGCCGCGGUAAUACGUAGGUGGCAAGCGUUGUCCGGAAUUAUUGGGCGUAAAGCGCGCGCAGGUGGGAUAAUAAGUCUGAUGUUAAAGUUCGGGGCUCAACCCCGUGAAGCAUUGGAAACUAUUAUUCUUGAGUGCAGGAGAGGAAAGUGGAAUUCCUAGUGUAGCGGUGAAAUGCGUAGAUAUUAGGAGGAACACCAGUGGCGAAGGCGACUUUCUGGACUGUGUCUGACACUGAGGCGCGAAAGCAAGGGUAGUGAACA
rnacentral:rRNA from 1 species